GCAGUCGGGGCCGAGUGGUUAGGGUGAUGGAUCAUAAAUCCAUUGGGGUCUCCCCGCACAGGUUCGAAUCCUGUCGACUGCG
rnacentral:tRNA from 1 species